CGUUUCUGCGCAGCAAGCGUACACUGAUUACUGUACGAUAGAUAUUAGGUAUUAGUGUGAUCAUUUCAUUCUUAAUAUUGUCACGGGAAUAGAAUACCACUAAGCUUUGAAAACGUUUUUAAACAAGAACUUUUAAAGCUUAUGAUGUUCUUGAUCGCAGUAGUUCUUCUAUCACCUGUGUGGCACCAAACACAGGCAGGACGUUUACAAAACCUUGAGAGGAAACUUCAUGCAUUUGAGAUGUCAGUAAUACAGGAUAUUCACUUGUUGCGAGAAGAUAUUUUUCUGGCAAAGGACAAGAUUGAAGAAAUUAUUGCGUCAGUGAAUAGCACAACUUCGCUUCAAAUAAUAGACGGUACCCCUUUACCACAAGAAGAAGAACAUAAAAUAGCUAAACGAAUCGAACAGAAAAUGGAAGCGUUAGUUCUUCAACAAUUAAAGCGAGUAAAGAGGGCAUUCGUUUCAGAAAAGAUGCAGAUUAUUGCAAAGCAAAGGGAACAAGAAUCAAACUUUACAUCACAAGCAUGGAAGCUACAAAACGCAUUGGAUACUAUGACUAAAAAGGUUGACAGUGGCAUAAAGACGUUAUCAUGGGCAAUGCGCGAAUCUGUUGAAAUGAAUGCCAUUAAAAUUGACGAACAGGUGUCUAAGGUAAAAGAAUCAGUGUAUGAAACACUACUUAGAGUUGAAAGAAGUGUUAAUUCAAGUUUACUUGAAAUUUCUAAAAACGAGGGAAAAAUGUUGAAUGCCAUGACCGGAAAACUUGAAAAUGUUUUAAAUAAGAUUUCACAUAUUGGGCAGAAUCUAACCAACAAUGAGUUGUUCGUUGAGAUGUUACAAGCUGUACAAUCGAUACAAUUUACUUCCCUUAUGACGAUGAUUUUGCAAUCAAACUCUCCGAACAAUUUUGUUUUCCGAAAUACAGUUGACAGAUACCUCAACACUUACAAGAACUUCAGAACAGAAUCGUUGGUAGACAGUCAAGCCAUUUCAGAAUUAAUAGAUAUUAGCAGAAGACUGCGCUUAGGCAAUUCGUCGUUUUCAGUUGACGGUGUGAAGGGACGGCUAGAAGUUUUCUACGCUAAUAAAUGGGGAACAGUGUGUGACGAUAGUUUUGAUGCAAAAGAUGCGCAAGUAGCAUGCAGAACGUUAGGUUAUCUGAAAAGUAACUAUAAACUAGAAGCGUAUUUCGGACAGGGUACGGAACCAAUAUUGUUUGAUAAUAUGGCUUGCAGUGGUCACGAAACUAAUUUGAUGGAGUGCCCUGGUACCAAGGGAGGACAUGACUGUAAACAUACAGAGGACGUUGGUGUAAUCUGCUGGAACUGAGCUGUAAACAUCCGAUCAAUGUGGCUUUAGAGCUGUUGCUUUUUUAUAAACUUUCAUAGACACAAAUCGGAUUUGAAUAAGACUUCAGCUGUAUCACAAUAAAUGUAUGUACAAAACAAUUGAUAUAUUAUCAAAUUCUGAUUAAUGAACCUAUCCUUACGGUUUAGAUUAUCUGACGGAAUUGUGAAUAAGAGCUUCUUAGGUUGUAAUGGAACCAAAUGCUGAUAAAAGCCAAAUUAGUGAAUUAAUAUUUAUUUCGCUACUGUUAUUUACAAAAGUAAAUGUAAUAAUACUAAUUUUAUUAAAUAUAAUAAUACGA
rnacentral:misc_RNA from 1 species